UUCCCACUGCUGCGGAGCCUGUCGCUGCCCAGGACACGGCGCCCCUCGCGGCCGUACCUAUUGAACAUGUUCCGGGGCAGCAGAGGAGGAAAAGGGCCCGCUCCAGCAAAGAAGUUGACUUCCUCGGCACCAGUUCAGAAGAGCCAGUAAGGGAGGUGCUGGAGGCUCUCCCUCCGGAAACAGCUGCGGUGGCGGUGGUCCACAGCAAGUAUUGGACCGAAGAGUGGAGGGACCACACCGCCUCCUGCACUGCUGAAGACUUGGUGGCGGUGAACAGCGCCUGCGUGGCCCGGGCACUAAGCACAAGUAUCCAACUCGAGGGCUUGGUGAAGGAUCUAAACUCCAAGAGGGAGGACCUCGCCAAGCGCCUCGAGGAGGCGAUGCAUUACGGGGACGCUGUGCGAGCUGCCCAGGCCAAAGCUGCCAAGGCAGAAGAGGAAAAGAGAGCUGCUGAGGUCCAGCUCGCUGCUUCGCAGGCGGAGGUGGAGCGGCUGAAAAAAGAGCUCUAUGAGGUGGAGUGCCAGGUGGCUGUGGUGACUCGGCGGCUUGACCACGCUAAUGAGCACCACAAGCUUGCCACUGAUGCCCUGGAGGCCUCCAACAGAGAAAAAGCGGAGCUGAAGCAGCAAGCAGAGGCCCAGUCAGUGGAGAUUGCCUCUCUGAGGGAGGAGUUAAAGUCAGCGGGGGAGGUGGCGGUUCAAAAUUUUAUUGAUCACUUCGAGGACCACCCCCUUUAUGACGACUUCGCCAACUUCUGGGCCUCGUGGAGUGCCCAGAGCCUAUUGGGUCGGCUGAAGGAGGUGCACCCCACACUGGACAUCUCUCAACUAGAGGCUGAGUUCGGGGGACCCACUGGAGGUCGGCCUGACAAGGUUACCGAGGAGGUUCCAGAGGCCCAGGAGGCGGCCAGUGCUGAAGUUCCUCCCACAGAUUAGGGUUUCCUUUGUAAUGGCUUCGGCCCCCAUGUACUUCAAUUUCAUGAAAUGGAAAAUUUUGUUAAAUUUCUUUUUCAAGUUCUUUCGCUUCUGCUUCUUUGUAUCUCUUUUUGUUUUAUACUUGUAUGAAUGACAAACAUUAGGCCGACUGCCUCGUGACAAUGACCAGUUAACAAUUGUGAAUCGGUCUCCUUAAGCGAACACAAGUCAAGGAGGUGCACCCUACACUGGACAUCUCUCAACUAGAGGCAGAGUUCGGGGGACCCACUGGAGGUCGGCCUGACAAGGUUACCGAGGAGGUUCCAGAGGCCCAGGAGGCGGCCAGUGCUGAAGUUCCUCCCUCAGAUUAGGGUUUCCUUUGUAAUGGCUUCGGCCCCCAUGUACUUCAAUUUCAUGAAAUGGAAAAUUUUGUUAAAUUUCUUUUUCAAGUUCUUUCGCUUCUGCUUCUUUGUAUCUCUUUUUGUUUUAUACUUGUAUGAAUGACAAACAUUGGGCCGACUGCCUCGUGACAAUGAUCAGUUAACAAUUGUGAAUCGAUCUCUUUAAGCGAACAUGAGUCAACACUUAAGUGACCCCUAACCUUAACUUCUUAAUAAUCUGAGGCCAGAGCAAUUAAGAAAAUGCGAGGAAACGUUUGUUCAUCAGCUAAUAAGUGGUGAUCGAAUCACUGAACAUUUUUAAGAACUGAGGAAACCUUUCCCUGGCUGAUCCGGUUUGGAACUGAAAAUUCAUUACUGAAGAUAAGUUACACCUCUUUACAACCAACGUCGGAUCAGGACAACUGAUUUAGUCAUGACAACCUAGGAUCAAAUCGGAACAUUCUUGUUACUGGUAAUAUUUUCUCAAGUGCUCGAUGUUCCACUUGUGAGGUAACACCCUUCCUGACAUAUCUUCGACCUCGAAAGUACCAGGUCGGGAUUCUCCCNCCCACACUGGACAUCUCUCAACUAGAGGCAGAGUUCGGGGGACCCACUGGAGGUCGGCCUGACAAGGUUACCGAGGAGGUUCCAGAGGCCCAGGAGGCGGCCAGUGCUGAAGUUCCUCCCACAGAUUAGGGUUUCCUUUGUAAUGGCUUCGGCCCCCAUGUACUUCAAUUUCAUGAAAUGGAAAAUUUUGUUAAAUUUCUUUUUCAAGUUCUUUCGCUUCUGCUUCUUUGUAUCUCUUUUUGUUUUAUACUUGUAUGAAUGACAAACAUUAGGCCGACUGCCUCGUGACAAUGACCAGUUAACAAUUGUGAAUCGGUCUCCUUAAGCGAACACAAGUCAGCACUUAAGUGGGUUGGAAGUGACCCCUUACU
rnacentral:lncRNA from 1 species